rnacentral:rRNA from 1 species
AGUGAACGCUGGCGGUAGGCCUAACACAUGCAAGUCGAACGGCAGCACAGUAAGAGCUUGCUCUUACGGGUGGCGAGUGGCGGACGGGUGAGGAAUACAUCGGAAUCUACUUUUUCGUGGGGGAUAACGUAGGGAAACUUACGCUAAUACCGCAUACGACCUACGGGUGAAAGCAGGGGAUCUUCGGACCUUGCGCGAUUGAAUGAGCCGAUGUCGGAUUAGCUAGUUGGCGGGGUAAAGGCCCACCAAGGCGAAGAUCCGUAGCUGGUCUGAGAGGAUGAUCAGCCACACUGGAACUAAGACACGGUCCAGACUCCUAAGGGAGGCAGCAGUGGGGAAUAUUGGACAAUGGGCGCAAGCCUGAUCCAGCCAUACCGCGUGGGUGAAGAAGGCCUUCGGGUUGUAAAGCCCUUUUGUUGGGAAAGAAAAGCAGCAGGUUAAUACCCCGCUGUUCUGACGGUACCCAAAGAAUAAGCACCGGCUAACUUCGUG